UUUCGUACGUCAUCAUCUCAAAAUGGCGACCACCAUAGGGUUACGCCUCUCGUUGGAAGCUCAAUUUCUCCGUUCAGAAAGAGUUCUAUUAAGAAAGAAAGAUGGAAAAGCGUCAAAGCUGGCUGCACGAGGCAAUAGAUCUUCGAACAUAUCAUCGACCUCAUCAUCUGGAAUAAUAACAAAUUACAAUCGCAAAGUUGCCAUCAGAAAUAUACAGAUACUAUGUAGUUGCAAAUAACAGCAGAGUGAUCCUUCUGGAAAUGUAGUAAGGAAACAAAGACUUGAUGACAACAAAUUACCAGAAUUACAUCAGAAUCGUCAUAUUCGGCU